GAGCGACACAAGUAUUUAGCAAUUCGCCCUUAUAAGGUCUAAAAAUUAUAAAAGCGCGGAUGACCUAAGGCUGGUUAAUCCCAAUGAUAGAGUCUUCGAGAUAAGCCGCCUUCAAAUGAGCCUCUAAAAAGAUUUGUUUAAGGAAAAUUCUUGCAGAGUGGGUAUAAAAUCGAUGAUUUUAGCCCAGAUUACUACAAUUACCGAACAAAAAUACCCAGAGUGGUACAGCGAGGCUGGAGAUUGCCUCGAGCACAGGCACCAAUUUUUAGAUUUUUUAAUAACAGUUUUACUGUUUACAGCAGCAGGAAGAGUCUUACAAAAAUGAAGUUAGGGCGAGAUAUUACAAUAAAAGAGAGAAACUAAAGAAACUGGUAACAUAAGUAGAUUGUAGGCCAUAUUUAAUUUUUCUAGCAACUUCCGUGUUAUAAAAGAUUCUUCAAAAACUAAUAAUGUUCUUUUUAUUUUUUUCAGGGUAGAAUUAAGUUGUAAAUAGUUUGUAGUAGUAGUUUUAGUAUUAGUUAUUGUUAAUUAGUAUUUAUUAAUUUAGUAAGUAGUAUGAACACGUGAGCCAAGCUUUGAAAAAAGCUGGUGAAAAAGACCUAAUCUUUAUUGAUUAGGUUGUGUGAGAAUUUGUGGUUGUGGGUAGACAAAUUCUGAAAAUCGUGU